GAAUAUAUGCUGCUCAAAUAUGCCUCUGUGGUGUUGACAGACGCUGUCACGACGUUGCAGUUGGGCUUUGUCAAUAUCCACUAUACUCCACCUUGCUUGUCUUGUCGCGGCUUGCUCGAUCUUUCCGCUGCUACCCAGCCCCUGGUUGUCAAGCAAGCGGACUGCCUCGUUCUACCAAUCACAGCUGAGAUGUCAGUUUUGCCCCAGGGCAAAGUAAAAGGUCGCGUUCAUUUAGGCUACUUUAAAACCACCCUUCUCAUUUUAGCUCCUCUCCUUUUUGUAGAAUUCUCAAAUCUGAUCUAAAUCGUAACAGGAUUAGGAAUUUCAACAAUUCUACCUCAUGCAUCUUUCCAGCAAUAUUUUCCUCUUCAAUCCCCCUAUUUUCGCCACUUUUUCUUCAAGAGUCAAAAUACCGGAGUGAACCCGGUAUGAAAAAGAUGAAAUGGACAGUUGAUGACUGCAUAUUUGCCUGCAUUAGAGUCCAUACUGCAUACAGGCCCAGCUGCAUGACAAAAGUUCAGACAGUUCACAUAUCUCCUGAACCUGAAUCUAAGGCUGAGGGCUGGACCACGAGGAAGCCAUUGCCAGAUAAAUACCACACAUCCAGACCCGAGGCGGAGAUGACCCCGGUUGUCCCCAUCCACCUGAUACAGUCUGGGUCCAGCAACUCAUCAGACGGAGACGAUGAUAAUGGCGAUGGUGAAGAUGUCAGGAAAGCGCACAGCAAGUGGCGGAGGGAAAGAGAGUCUGGCAGCGGGGAGCAGGGGGGGAAUGUCGAUAUCAACGUCGGUAGGGUCCAGGAGGAGUUUCUAAAUCGGAUUCACAAUCUUCGGAAUAACCUGAUAGACAUGAAGGUGACACCUGUUUCAGAUGACCAGCCUGGAGAUGGAAACUGAUGUUGGAUCAUCAAAGUGAAAUAAAUCAUGGACCAUUAAGUCGACAACGGCUCCACAUCUAAUUCACAU